rnacentral:rRNA from 1 species
UUAGAGUUUGAUCAUGGCUCAGGACAAACGCUGGCGGCGUGCUUAACACAUGCAAGUCGAACGGUCUCCCUUUGGGGAGAUAGUGGCGGACGGGUGAGUAACACGUAGUUGACCUGCCCAAUCGUGGGGAAUAACUGCCCGAAAGGGUAGCUAAUACCGCAUAAGCUCACAGGGGUUGCCCUGUGAGGAAACCCUGGUCUUCGGAUCUGGGGCGAAUGGAGGGGACUGCGGCGGAUUAGCUAGAUGGUGGGGUAACGGCCUACCAUGGCGACGAUCCGUAGCUGGUCUGAGAGGACGACCAGCCACACUGGGACUGAGACACGGCCCAGACUCCUACGGGAGGCAGCAGUGAGGAAUAUUCCACAAUGGGCGAAAGCCUGAUGGAGCGACGCCGCGUGAGGGAUGAAGCCUUUUGGGGUGUAAACCUCUUUUUUGGGGGAUGAAACGCACGGUGCAUAACCGGGCUAAGACAGUACCCCAAGAAUAAGCAUCGGCUAACUACGUGCCAGCAGCCGCGGUA